AAGACCAAUCAACACCCUGUUCACAAGUUAGCAAACACAUAGCCAGCCGUUCCAACACUCCCGUACCUACUUGCCUUAUAAUAUUCGAAUAUUCAAUAGUUAUG